rnacentral:rRNA from 1 species
CCUACGGGAGGCAGCAGUGGGGAAUUUUGGACAAUGGGCGCAAGCCUGAUCCAGCAAUGCCGCGUGAGUGAAGAAGGCCUUCGGGUUGUAAAGCUCUUUUGUCAGGGAAGAAACGGUGAGGGCUAAUAUCUCUUGCUAAUGACGGUACCUGAAGAAUAAGCACCGGCUAACUACGUGCCAGCAGCCGCGGUAAUACGUAGGGUGCAAGCGUUAAUCGGAAUUACUGGGCGUAAAGCGUGCGCAGGCGGUUUUGUAAGUCUGUCGUGAAAUCCCCGGGCUCAACCUGGGAAUUGCGAUGGAGACUGCAAGGCUAGAAUCUGGCAGAGGGGGGUAGAAUUCCACGUGUAGCAGUGAAAUGCGUAGAGAUGUGGAGGAACACCGAUGGCGAAGGCAGCCCCCUGGGUCAAGAUUGACGCUCAUGCACGAAAGCGUGGGGAGCAAACAGGAUUAGAUACCCUGGUAGUCCACGCCCUAAACGAUGUCUACUAGUUGUCGGGUUUUAAAUUAACUUGGUAACGCAGCUAACGCGUGAAAGUAGACCGCCUGGGGGAGGAGGUCGUCGAGAGUUAAACUAACAAAGAAAGUUAGAGGCGNGAGAGNGCGACGGACGACGACGAGGGAGGAGG